UACGGAGGGUGCAAGCGUUGCUCGGAAUUAUUGGGCGUAAAGGGUAGGUAGGUGGUCUCAUUUGUCUGGGGUGAAAGCCUUGAGCUUAACUCAAGAAGUGCCCCAGAGACGGUGAGACUGGAGUUCUGGAGAGGGUCGUGGAAUUCCCGGUGUAGCGGUGAAAUGCGUAGAGAUCGGGAGGAACACCAGAGGCGAAGGCGGCGACCUGGACAGAUACUGACACUCAACUACGAAAGCGUGGGGAGCAAACAGG
rnacentral:rRNA from 1 species